AGGAAGGGGAAGUCGUAAUAAGGUUUACGUAUGUGAACCUGCGGAAGGAUCAUUG
rnacentral:rRNA from 1 species